GACGAACGCUGGCGGCGUGCUUAACACAUGCAAGUCGAACGAGAGCGUAGAGAAAGCUUGCUUUUUCUACAAUCUAGUGGCAAACAGGUGAGUAACGCGUAAACAACCUGCCCUACGGAUGGGGACAACAGCUGGAAACGGCUGCUAAUACCGAAUACGUUCCGAAAGUCGCAUGACUAUCGGAAGAAAGGAUGGCCUCUAUUUAUAAGCUAUCGCCGGAGGAGGGGUUUGCGUCUGAUUAGCUAGUUGGAGGGGUAACGGCCCACCAAGGCGACGAUCAGUAGCCGGUCUGAGAGGAUGAACGGCCACAUUGGAACUGAGACACGGUCCAGACUCCUACGGGAGGCAGCAGUGGGGAAUCUUCCGCAAUGGGCGAAAGCCUGACGGAGCAACGCCGCGUGAGUGAAGACGGCCUUCGGGUUGUAAAGCUCUGUUAUACGGGACGAAUAAUCUUGUGGUUAAUACCCAUGAGAAGUGACGGUACCGUAAGAGAAAGCCACGGCUAACUACGUG
rnacentral:rRNA from 1 species